rnacentral:rRNA from 1 species
CCCUGAUCCACCCAUGCCGCGUGUGUGAAGAAGGCCUUCGGGUUGUAAAGCACUUUUGUUGGGGAAGAAACCGGCCGGGUUAAUACCCUGGUUGAAUGACGGUACCCAAAGAAUAAGCACCGGCUAACUUCGUGCCAGCAGCCGCGGUAAUACGAAGGGUGCAAGCGUUACUCGGAAUUACUGGGCGUAAAGCGUGCGUAGGCGGUUUGUUAAGUCUGCUGUGAAAGCCCUGGGCUCAACCUGGGAACUGCAGUGGAUACUGGCGAGCUAGAGUGUGUCAGAGGAUGGUGGAAUUCCCGGUGUAGCGGUGAAAUGCGUAGAGAUCGGGAGGAACACCAGUGGCGAAGGCGGCCAUCUGGGACAACACUGACGCUGAGGCACGAAAGCGUGGGGAGCAAACAGGAUUAGAUACCCUGGUAGUCCACGCCCUAAACGAUGCGAACUGGACGUUGGGCACACUUAGGUGCUCAGUGUCGAAGCUAACGCGUUAAGUUCGCCGCCUGGGGAGUACGGUCGCA